GUCACUGUGGAAAACUGCCCCUCGGCCAAGAAAGACCAGAGACUCAAUACCAUGGGCAUCGAGAUUGAGAGACUCAGAAAGACUCACUCAUCCUAUUUAAGUUUGCAGUCCACAAUAUAAACAAGGACUACCGACUUAUUCAUUCAUAAGAGAAAUUUAACUGCCAAGCUGGAGGACAAGUGAUUAGUGAAAACAAAGGGAGAGUGUCCUGAGGACGAUUUCAUCUUUGUUAAGGAGAGCCUUGACAAUAGACUCCACCUUAGAGCAGCUGCUUUCUCCCCUUGUGAUGAUCACAGCACAUUUUCCUUGUCAGACUUGUAGUCUGCACCAGGGAGUGCUCAGGAAGGGACAUGGACAAUGUUGGGGAUCUGCCCUUGAGCCUCUGAGCUGUGUGAUGGGUGGAGACGUCACCCCCAAGACACACAACGAAUUCCUCUGGCAGGCGCUUCAGGAAGGCCAUCUGCUUCUGUUGUUCCUCUGACCUUUUGUUGGAACCCACCUGAAAUUGGAAAGAAAUUACCAGAAUAAAACUAAGCCUAAGGCA